UAGGGAAUCUUCCACAAUGGGCGCAAGCCUGAUGGAGCAACGCCGCGUGAGUGAUGAAGGGUUUCGGCUCGUAAAACUCUGUUAUAAGAGAAGAACGUCAGUGAGAGUAACUGUUCAGUGUGUGACGGUAUCUUACCAGAAAGGACGGCUAAAUACGUGCCAGCAGCCGCGGUAAUACGUAUGUUCCAAGCGUUAUCCGGAUUUAUUGGGCGUAAAGCGAGCGCAGACGGUUAUUUAAGUCUGAAGUGAAAGCCCUCAGCUCAACUGAGGAAGGGCUUUGGAAACUGGAUGACUUGAGUGCAGUAGAGGAAAGUGGAACUCCAUGUGUAGCGGUGAAAUGCGUAGAUAUAUGGAAGAACACCAGUGGCGAAGGCGGCUUUCUGGACUGUAACUGACGUUGAGGCUCGAAAGGUGGGUAGCAAACAGGAUUAGAUACCCUGGUAGUCCACACCGUAAACGAUGAGUGCUAAAUGUUCGAGGGUUUCCGCCCUUGAGUGUGCAGCUAACGCAUUAGCACUCGCUGGGGAGUACCGACC
rnacentral:rRNA from 1 species